CGGGUUAAGCCUUUAACCGACGCGCAACCCUCAUUGCAUGUUAAUUUUUUCUAUGCGAGACUGCCCUGGGUUACAGGGAGGAAGGUGGGGAUGACGUCAAGUCAGCAUGGCCCUUACACCUUGGGCUACACACGUGUUACAAUGGCCGGUACAAUAAGUCGCAAUACCGUAAGGUGGAGCUAAUCUAUGAAAACCGGUCCCAGUUCGGGAUUGGGGGCUGAAACUCGCCCCCAUGAAGUCGGAAUCGCUAGUAACCGUGAAUCAGCACGUCACGGUGAAUACGUUCCCGGGUCUU
rnacentral:rRNA from 1 species